CUACGGGGUGCACCAGUGAGGAAUAUUGCACAAUGGGGGGAACCCUGAUGCAGCAACGCCGCGUGGAGGAUGACGCGUUUCGGUGUGUAAACUCCUUUUAUAUGUCAAGAAAAUAACGGUAGCAUAUGAAUAAGCACCGGCUAACUCCGUGCCAGCAGCCGCGGUAAUACGGAGGGUGCAAGCGUUACUCGGAAUCACUGGGCGUAAAGGACGCGUAGGCGGGUUGGAAAGUCAGGUGUGAAAUCCUACAGCUUAACUGUAGAACUGCACUUGAAACUUCUAAUCUAGAGUAUGGGAGGGGGAGAUGGAAUUAGUGGUGUAGGGGUAAAAUCCGUAGAUAUCACUAGGAAUACCUAAAGCGAAGGCGAUCUCCUGGAACAUUACUGACGCUAAGGCGUGAAAGCGUGGGGAGCAAACAGGAUUAGAUACCCUCGUUGUC
rnacentral:rRNA from 1 species